GCUGGCUUAGAUCAAUGGUAGAUCGUCUCCCUCCUACUCUAUCUUGGGUAGAGGAGAAGGCUGCGGGUUCGAGUCCCGUGGUCAGUG
rfam:Puccinia graminis f. sp. tritici CRL 75-36-700-3 supercont2.51 genomic scaffold, whole genome shotgun sequence.